CUCCCCCAUUACGUCUACCUGCAUAUCUGCGCAUGUGCUACCGUACAUCACCUUACUUAAUCUCCUGAUUGGUCUUUCUGUCCGCUCUGCCUCUUCGUUCAGCUGAUAUGCUAAUUUUUCGACUUCGUCCUUAAUUUUUGCACACCAGUGUAUUUCAAGUGCUUGUCUUAUCAACUAUCGAUGGUAUGUUACGUGCUUACCAUGGUCGUAACUGUGACGAAGAAUAAGGGUUGAAUUCCGAAGAGGGAGCCUGAGAAACUGCUACCACAUACAAUGAAGGCAGUAGACAAGCAAAUUACUCACUCCCAGAACGGGGUGGGAGUGACAAAAAAUAGCAAUCCGGGACUCUUUUGAGACCCCAUAACUGGAAGGAAUUACGCACUAAAUAUUUUAACGAGGAUCAAUUGGAAGGCAAGUCUGGUGCCAACAAGUCUUAAAAAUUCCGACUAA
rnacentral:rRNA from 1 species